rnacentral:rRNA from 1 species
AGGACGAACGCUGGCGGCGUGCUUAACACAUGCAAGUCGAGCGGAAAGGCCCUUCGGGGUACUCGAGCGGCGAACGGGUGAGUAACGCGUGAGCAACCUGCCCUUAGCUUCGGGAUAGCUCCGGGAAACCGGAAUUAAUACCGAAUAUGACUUUGGCUGACAUCAGCAGAAGUGGAAAGUUUUUCGGCUAGGGAUGGACUCGCGGCCUAUCAGCUAGUUGGUGAGGUAACGGCCCACCAAGGCGACGACGGGUA